GAAAUGCUCCUGCUUCUGCUUACCUACUUUGAUGAGAAGGAAGAGUCCUUGUUCUGCUAUGUGGAUGAUACAUGUCUGGCAGAAGAGGUCCAAUUGGAGCAAGUGCCUCUGACGCCUGCACUUAUUGUCUGUGGACAGUCCUGCUUUUCUGCAGCAAGGUACAUGCUGAGUCUGGAUCGGAACCUCAUCAACUCAAACAUCUCCUCCUUCAUUUCCGCGUUGUGCCUCAUGUUCGGGAGUUACUUCUGUUUCAAUAUCCAUUAUCCAUCUGAGCUGGCUUCAACGCUGGAGUUUCUUCAAAGAUGCUUUUUCUCAAUAAACCCAGAAAAAGGAACCAAAGUGGCGAAAAACUCAAAGUGUCGCCUGAACGUGAACCCACGAGUCCUCACCCUGAUACAGGACAUCUCGGACCACGAGUGGCGUGAAAAUUAACAAUGGAUUCUUGACUUCUGUGGACAGGUUGGGAAAAGGUCUUUUGUAAAAAAGAAAAGCAGAAAUGAGUCAAGUUGAGAAUAUUUUGUUCGAAACUGUUGCUUUUUUUUUUUUUUUAAUUUUAAUUAGAUAUGCUGUGGGCAAGGCACAGUAUUUUGUUAGUGAUGUGCAGAUUUAAAAUGUGUAGA